rnacentral:lncRNA from 1 species
UGUGUGCCAAUGUGCUAAACGGGUUGUUGAACGUGACUUUAGGUCAACCACCAGUUACCCCUUGUUGCUCCCUCCUCAAUGGUCUUGUUGAUCUUGAAGCUGCAGUGUGCCUUUGCACUGCCCUUAGGGCAAACAUUUUGGGCAUCAACCUCAACCUUCCAAUCUCACUCAGCUUGCUUCUCAAUGUUUGCUCAAGGCAAGUCCCACGUGAUUUCCAAUGUGCUUAAUCAUCAUGGUCUAUGAUAUGCACAAGUUGCUUCGUGCUUAUUCGUAGUUGUGGCUUUCCGUUAAUGUCUUUUAUUUUCAAAUUUCAUUGCUCAUGGUGCGAUUCCUAUACGUGCAUGGAUGGUUAACUUCUCGUUAUUCUGUCGCUUUAAUUAGUGUUUGUUUUAUUUAGCAAAGUGUCGAAUUAAAUAAACUCCCGAUGCUUUUCUUAUGUAAAAGCAAAAGGAAUCAAAGAUGAUAGUGUUAUUUAUUUGACAGAUAAAUGAUUAAUGUUACGAACACUUCUUAAUUUUUAUUGCUGUCUCUUUUUGUUUUUUCUUUUUGCUGAAUGAGACAUGAGAGCAUGGCUGAUCUGGAAAUUAAAUUAUUUUUCUCUUUCUAGCUAACUUCUGUUCAAUGCCUGACAUGAGGAAAACAAAAAUUCAAGAAAAGAAUAAAAUCUAAAGCUAACAUGCACAGGCACCAACACUGUAAUCAGCCCGUGACUAAUGUACUUUAUGACAUCACGUGCAAGCAAUAUUAUUUUAUUUUAUUAAAAAAACUGAAUAUAUAUAAUUAGCUAAUUAAACUGAAUCAAAAUGAUAGGUUUACGACUUUGGGCCAAUUCGUUCAUUUGAAUAUACAUUGUUCUGUGCCUGCUUCCAAGAUAUGCAUACGUAAAUCAUUCCCUCUCAGUAAUGAAGCAAAUGCAUCUUAGUUUUGUUUCACCCGAACAAGUGGUCCCUAGCUCCACUUUUGCUCUACCGAUCAGUUUAUUAACCAUAGUAGAAGUAUAUUUGGUUGCACAAAUUCCAUAGAUAUAUUAAGCAUUUAUUCCGAUUUCAAAUAUUAAAAAAACAUUUUUUUUAUCUCAAACAUAUUAUUUUUAACUAUCUUUAUCUUUGACUAAAAAAACUAAUUAAUUUUAUCUUAUUUAAUAUUAUUAUUUUUAAUAUAUUUUUCAUUUUUAAUUAAUGAUAUUUUUAUUUCUAAUAUCAAAUUGAAUGAAUAAUACGUUAAAAAAUAUUUUUAAUUGAGAUUGAUGUAAUUAAAUAUAAUUAAUUAAAUUUUUUAAUUAAUGUGAAUAAUUUUUUUUUCUUAAUUUGAGACCGGAUAGAGUAGAUGAGAAGCAAUGGUUUCUUACUUUUGGUUCAACUAAUGCAUUUUUCAAGAUGCAUAUAUAUAAAUAAAUAAAAAACACACACGCACUAAAAGUUCAGCCUCCCACAUGUAAUUAAGGAGGAAAGAAGUUGGGGAGAUUAGAAUCAGGUAGAAUGGUUUAUAAUUUGCAAUUCAAAUGUAUGAUUUCAUACCUGUAAGGCUGUAACCAGUUGGCACUAGUGUAUUUUCUUUUUCUUUUUCUUUUCGUAUUUCUUGCACCGUUGCACAUAAGAAAUAAAUAAAUAAAUAAUUCCACCACACAUAUCUAUUUGUUGUGUAAACCAUAUGACACAUUGGUUUAACUAUUUUAUUGAAGAGAAGUAGUACAGUGAUUAUUGAGGUUUAUGACAACAGGCUUUUCGAUUUUCGAAGUUCAAUAAUUUCUAUACAACUAUUUUUAAUUAUAAAUACACUAUUGGGAAUCUAUUAUCGUACAUUAUCAAUAUAUAAAUUAAAAUUAUCUAGCAGCUUGUCAUGUGUCAGUUGCUUGCUGGACAGUGCAACAUCAUUAAUUUUUUUUCACUUUUUUGUCUCUUUUUUUUUUUUCAUUUUCUCAUUAUUUUUUUUAAAAAAAAUCUGUGCAAAACACAGGCCAUACACCUAGUUAAACAUAAACCUAUAAUCGUGCACGAGCAUUGGAAAUGACUUUCUGGAGUUUGUCCUAACUUUUUUUCCGCAAAAAUUUGAAAGCUAAAAUAUUAAGUAAGUUUAAAAAAUAAAUUAUUUAAUUAGCAAUUUUCAUUUAUUUAGUUUUAAAGCUUCUUUUAAAUGAAAAAUUGUUCGGUAGUUUUUUUAAAAAAAUAAAUUUGUUUAAAACUAACUGACACAUUCAAAGAAGAAUAUGUUGGUAAAAAAAAAUAUUAUACUUUGUACAAUUGAUUUAAUCAACAUAACUUUUUAAUGAUAAUAAAAAUACAUAAAAUUGAGCAUUAAUGUUUCACUAAUCAAACUAAUUUUAAAUAAGUAUUCUUUAUUACCAUUUUUUACUAAAAAGCAUUUUCUAUAUCACUUGGCACAACAAAAUUGUCUCCCUCAUGAUACUUAAAUAUUCUUGACUUUCUCAAACAAUAAAUUAAAGGUUUGAUGGAUUACAAGUAAUCUACUCAAAGAGUAAGGAUGUCAAGUUAAAACACAAAAACAAGUAAUUUUUCAUAGUAAAGGACUGUAAUUUUUUCCCUAGAGCAUUUCGUCCUUCCAAUGAGUAUCAAAGUGUCACUGCUCUAUUUCUUGAAUGCCUGAUAAUUUCUUUAACUUGUCUCACGAUUCUUCUACGGUUCAAUCUUGGAUAUUAUAGGCUUCAUUUGAGAGGACCUUAUUGAGUGAGAGCCCAUUGAUAUUUUCCUAUUAGGAAAUUUGACACAUGCUACUUUUGAUGUGUCCAUUUCUGGUGACGAGAGAAAUAAUAAGACAUAAGUUAUUAGAGAUAAGGGGAGCAACAUGAAUACUAAAUCUUGAAGCUUAAAGAAGUUUUAUCUUUUAUAUAUCCAACUCAUUUGAGUGACAUUUGUAUUGAUUGUUGUGUUGUUUAUUACAUUUUAGUCUCUAUCUUUUCAUGUGUACAUCAUGCAUCAUCAUAUAGGAGUAAGGAGAUUGUUUCUAAAGUUAGAAACUUUCUUCAAUGCAUAAAACUUUUUGUUUAAUUGAUUACAAGACUAAUCGUAAUCGAUUACACAAGUGUUUACAGCUUGUAGAGAGACUUUCGUAUUGGUUUAAUCGAUUACAAGCUAAUCAUAAUUGAUUACACAGUUCAAUUGAGACUAUGAUUGGUUUUUCAAGAGUUUCUACUUUAAUCGAUUACUAGAUAAUCAUAAUCGAUUACUUUAUUCUUAAAAGUAUUCCCAUAAGUGAUAAAAAAAACACUUUAAUCAAUUACAUCAAGAAUCUAAUCAAUUACAUUGUUCUUAAAAGUUUUUCAAAUAUUGGGAAGAACACUUUAAUUGAUUGAAAUGAUAAUAUAAUCGAUUACUUCUUCGAAAUAAUCAAUUACAUUGACUUUUUAAUCGAUUACAGACAUUUAUAACUAUUUUCUCUAUAAAUAACUAGUUUGUAUUCUCACUUAUGUGUGAGUGUGCAAGCUGAAAUAAGUAAAAGAAAGAGAGAAGAUAAAGUGCUUAGAAAAAAUGCAACUCACAAUUUCUAAAAUUCGUUUUUGAAGAUCUCAUGGUAAAAAGUGAGUUGUGAAUUUCUCUUGAGUUCAAGAAGACACGUAUUCAUUCAAGCAAGGUUAUUGUGCAUGAUUGAUCAGGUUGUGUCUCUCCUUGACUCAAUUUUUCAUGCUAGAAUAGGUUUUUCUAGUUUGGGUUAAGGGUAGGUUUCUCUUAAACUCUUAUUCACAAAGGACCCUAGGGUUAGAUGCCUUAGUCUUUUUUUUUUUAGAAACUGAUAUUGAUUGUGAUUGCUUGUAAGAAUUCUAUACGCAUAAUGAAAAUCUAAUUUGGGUUGGAUUAGCUUCUUUAGAGACAGAGAGUGAACUGGUAUAAAUACUAGUGUACUUCUUGUCUUGAUCUUAUCUUUCUUUUUCUCGAUCUAGUCUUGAUCAAUUUAAUGAAGGUUAAAGAAAUAUCUUUUUGAGAAAGUACUUAAAAAAAGANNNNNNNNNNNNNNNNNNNNNNNNNNNNNNNNNNNNNNNNNNNNNNNNNNNNNNNNNNNNNNNNNNNNNNNNNNNNNNNNNNNNNNNNNNNNNNNNNNNNGAUUGAUUAAUAUUGGUUUAUAAAAAAUUUGUGAUGCGAUCCUUGAAAAAGAAUUUAAUAAAUUUUUUUAAAGUCUGAUUUGAUAUAGAAACCAAUUCAUCCCUUCUCUUUGUUUGUGAGUUCUACCAUCUUUUUCAUAAGUUUUUUGAGGUGUUAGACAUCUUUUUUGAGUUUGGUUCUAACAAUCUUUUUCUUUUUUUAUGAUGACAAAUCAUAUUAAAUUUUGAUCACAAAUAGCAUAAUCAUGUAAAGAUAUAUAUAAAAAAUAAACAUGAUAUGUUAUGUAUCAGAGCAUAAAGGAUAGAAAGUUUUACAAGAGCUGAGGUAUCAAAGCAACACAUAUUAGAUUAGAACAACAAAAUCAAAAGAAAGACAAUUGUAUCAAAUUAUAACAAGGUAAGGAUGAUGCUGGUCCCUAAUAAAAAUUUUGUUGCAUUGGAUUCCUAAUAUAUUAAAAUUUUUAUUUUGAGUUUUUACGGUCAAUUAAGUGAUGAUAUGACAUUCUUUAAGUGAUUGAUAUAUAUUGAGAAUAUUUAUUUAUGAGAUACCACAUCAUCACUUAACUAAUAAUCCACAAUAACUCAAAAUUAAACAAAAGCUUUAAUAUACUAAAGAUUGAAUGUAAUGAUCAACUUUUUUUAUUAAGGCCCCAAAACAAAAAUUUAUCAUUUAUCAAGGACUUCAAACAUAUUUAAGUCUAAUUAUUUUUAUGUUUAUAAACUUUUUAAGCUUAAAUAUGUCUGUGAUAUGUGAUAAAUUAGUAAAUUUUGUUCUAAAUCUCUAAUAAUUUUUUGUACUACGAGUCUUUAACAAAACAAAUAUUUCAUUUUGGGUAUAUGUUAUUUUGUUAGUUCUUAUAAUAUUUUGUUUAUUUUGUGUUAGUAUAUAUUUUAAAAAUAUUUGAUAGGGAGUAACGGAUUAGAAAUGACCUACAUAUUUUAGGGAUAAAAAUAAGAAAAAUAAUAUAGUAUAUAUAUAUAUAUAUAUAUAUAAAAGAAACCCAAAAUAAAAAUUUCCUAAUUUAUCAAGGACCAAAAUAUAUCUGAACCAAAUCUUUAAUAUAAAAACAUUCAAAAAGCGAUUUUCUAAUGAUUUAAAACCACUAGAGUAUUUAACUCAUAUGGUUUUGUGGUGGUUUUUUUUUUUUUUUUUACAUAUUUUGGAGAUUUUAAAGAAAAAUAAAUAAAAACAUGAAUGUGAAAUUGUGACGAUUAUUUAUUUUACAUAUUUUGACGAUUUUUAAAAAAAUAACUGAUGGUGAAUAAUUUUCACAAAUUGUAACAUUAUUAGUGCAGUAAAAGAAAGAGACUAAAUUUAGUUUUUUUACAAAUUUGAAGGAAUAAUAAAAAUAAAUUUUUUUAAGGACAAAAAAAUAAUUACUCAAAUUUAAAUAAUUAAAAACAUAUUAAGUUUAGAUAUUAUGACAAAACUUUUAAAAAGGGAGGAUCGAGAUUAAUCUAAUAAUAAUUGAGUGAACCUCCUUUUAAUCAAUUCUUGAAUUUGUAAAACAUUUUCAUGGUAGUUUCUUGAAAUUAGAAAAUAUCUAAUAAAAUUUUGAAAUUAAAACUAUUACUUUCUUUGUUUCAUUAUAAUUGUUGUGUAAGAGAAAAAAAAUAUCCUAAAAUAAUUAUUAUUUUAAUUUUUUAAUGUAAUAUUAAUGGUGUUUUUUCACUAAUAAUCCCUUAUAAUAUUAAUUGUAGAAAACAAAAUCUAUAAAUGAAUUAAUGAUGAUAUAAAGUUACUUUUGAAAAUUACUACUCUACUUUAUAUAUUUAUUAUUUUUUCUUUAUCUAUGUAAAAACAAUCUAAAACAACUAUUAUUUUAGGACAAUUUAAGUAUUAUUUUAGUCUUUAAUUAAUACUCUCUCCAGUCUCCAUUACAAGCAAAAAUUGACAUCACACUUUUUUAAGAAAAUUAAUUUAUUCAUUAAAUUGUAUCAUUUUCAAUUAAAAAAUAAAAUAAAAUUCUUAAAUUAUUCUUUAUUAGAAUUUGAUAUUAAACAUAAAAAAGUGUUUGAUAUUAUUAAAUGAAAAGUAUUUUAAAGAGAGACUAAUUAAAUAAGAUAUAAAUAAAUAAAUUUUUCUUAUAUUAAAAAAUAAUAAUAAAAUUUUAUUGCAUAUAUUCGAGAUAAAAGGAAAUAUAAACAACAUACUAACAUAAUAAUUUCUAAAUUUUGCAACUUACUAUCAUUAUAUGAAGCUAACGGCAUAGAUUAAUAUUAUAACCUAUUUCAAUUUCACAUUUAUCUAAAUCCAAAGACUACUAGCAUAACAAAUAAAUUGAAGACUAAAACCAGAAUUAAAUCACUCAAUAAUAAUUAUAACUUGUACUCACUCCGUAUCAAAAUCACUACAGUAGCCUUUAAAAAAACUCAAAUUAACUGAUGAGACAUUUUUAAUGAGAUAUUUAAAUAUUUAUUUUAAUUUUAUCUUCUACUAAAUAUUUUUGUUUUGGAAUAUUUAAUAUUACUCCCUUCCAUCUUAAAAAUAUUAGAAAAAAAUUGAUUCACGUCAAUUAAGAAAAUUAGAUAAUAACAUUUAUAACUACAUCAAUAUCAAUUAAAAAAAAAUAUUUUUUAAUUUAUCAUUUAUUGAAACUUGAAAUCAGAAAUAAAAGAAAUAUUAAAAUUAAUACCUUUAUUAAAUAAAUAAUAUUUUAGAGAUAAUAAUAUUAAAAUAAUUAAAAUUUUAUUAUAAUUUAAGACAAAAGAAUAUAUUUUUUUCUUCAUUAUAUAUUUGAUACCGACUUGAAGGAGUACAUUUAUUGAAACUAAGAAAAAAAUAAAAUAUUUUAAUAAAAUUAUUUCCUAAUAAAUUAAUACUAAUUCUGUUUGAAUACUACUGUUUUCUUAAUAUCUGUAAAACAAAAUGUUUUCUUAAUUCUGUUAGAAUAUGUGCAAUAUUUAUGCAGUCAAUCUCAUGAACUAUUUAUUGUAAUCAGGAAUCAUGGACAGGUGGAACGUUAGUUUCAGUACCCACAUUACUUUUUUGUUCUCAACAAUUUGUUUACAUCUGCGUCAUAAAAUCUUAAGGGUUGAAACCUGCAGUCCUGCACAUACUAAAGCUCAGAAUACUCCGUAAUUUAUUGCUCAGCGUUGAUUAAAUUAAUGUUCUACGUUAGUAUUAUACUCCUUUCUGAGAUCGCAGCUUAAUUAGACCCUCCUUUCCGGAUGAAUAUAUAAUUAUUAACUUGAAGUUUUCUUACAGAUAAACGCAAUCCAGAUUAGCCUGUGACUGCGACAGCAAAUUACUACUAAAAGCAAAUUAAUGGUUUCCACGCGUUUGGGCCAUGGCAUGGUCACAUGAAAAUUCUUUACUAGGCUUUUUAUAUUAUACUAUAAUAGCAAUCAUAGAAGCAUUUACAGAUUAGAGAGUCACGGGCUUCGUUUAACCAAAGUGGGCUCCAUUAAUAUUACACGCUCACGCACACCUGGAGGAUCAAGAUCUCAAUGUCUAACGGUUAGGAAUGUGAAACACCUUAAUUCGACAAAGAACUUUGGGGUAAAUAGUCAUUUGAUCAUAAAAACAUGAGAUGCUGACACCUUAAUUCGUGAAAGGCAAAAAUUACAAAGAUAUUUGUUAUCGCUAACAUUCUGACAUGUUUUAUUCACACGUGAAUAACACAUGACAGUUAAGUGUUAUUCACAUUGGUUGUCACAUAUUUUAAAAAAUAAUUUUUUUUAUUCGUCUUUAAAUUUAAUUUCUUAUUGUUUUUUUGGUAUAUCAAGGUCUAAAUUUAAUGAAUUAUUGAUAUUUUGAUCCUAAACUUAAUUACUUAUUAUCAUUUUGAUUUUUAAAUAUAUUUUUAAAUUUUCAAUCAAAUCUUACUUUGCAUAUAAAUUAUUAGCAUAAUUUAUUAUGACUUUCACCUCCACCAUCUACAUGUCAAGUAAACCAUUCAAGUGAAACAAUAAAUUUGAAUAGAAAAUAACACAAAAAAUAUCUAAAAAAAACUAUUUAUUUUUUCCUUAACAAACAUUGUCUAACUUUAAAAAAUUACAUUUUAUUCAAUUAAAAAAAUCAAAUUACCUAUUUAAUAUUCUUAAGUAACCAGUACAUUCAAAAUUCUUUCAUGUCUCAUUAUACAUGUGACAUUUAAUAACAUUUUUUUUGCCUAACAUUUAGUAAAAACAUUGCAUUUAAAAAAUAUCAUCAAAUAUAAAUAAAUGUUACUAAUAUAUUUUUGCGAAGAAGGGAAUGAGAGAAAAGUCACGAGUUCGAUCCUCUUGUUAACAAAAAUUAACAAACUUACAAUUAACAUUUGUCGAUAAAAAAAACUGAUAUAUAUUUAUAAUAUUUUAUCAAAUGUUGUGUAUAACCAUGUUACUAAAACCUUUAGCAACAUGAGCUAUACACAAUGAUCAAUAAAAUUUUGCACAAAGAUAUUAGUAACAUUUAUUCAUAUUUGAAAAUAUUUUUUAAAUGUUGUCAAAAUCUUUUAGCAACAUUUUUACUUAGUGUUAAGCCAAAAAAUGUUGCUAAUUAAAGACCACAUGUGUGAUAGUAUCUAUAUAUAUCUUGCGGUAAUAAUUCAUGAAAAUAACAACUUUUGUUGUUUACAUUUUUUGCUUUGCUUGAACAUGUUACUUUGAUAAUCAAUAAUUUACCUAUUGAUCGCAUGGAUUAUGUGUCAUGCCUUUCACUUACACCUCCUCAUAUUAAAAAAAUUCCACCCGUUACAUUUCAAAUGUACUCAAAAGAAUAAAAAAAGAUAUGUGCUUUGUGUGCCAUUAGAGAGCCACUAUCCACGCACUGGCCACUCAAGUACUUUAAUAUAAAACCCUUGAACAAUAAUGUAAAAAUCACAAAAAUAAGACCUAAGACAAGGUGUAGGACACUUACCCCAUCACAAAGGUAUGCAUGUAAACAAAUAUUUCUAACAUUCUUAUUUUUUUUUUUUUUAUGAUUUUCAAUUUUUUUAACUAUCUUUUUGUGAUGACUGUUAUUCCAUAAAAUUAAUCUAUUAUACUCAUAUUAAUAACAUACAAGUUAAUAACUUGAUUUAGAUUGAAGCUUUGGUUUAGAACCUUACAAAAUUUUGUUAGGUAUGUCUUGGAUUUAGGUGCUAGCUAUUGUUAUCUAAUUAAAUCACUUAUAAAUUAGAUUCAUAUAUAGUUAUAUUAUAAUUCAAAUGGUGGACUUGGUAAGCGAAAGGUGAAAAAUAUUACGGAUAAGAACUGAAAGUAAGGACAUAUAGUAACGAUUAUGCUAAUAAUUUACAAACAACAAAUGACUUAAUUAAAAAUUCAUAAGUGAUUAAGUUUAAGGACUAAAAUAUUAGUAAUUCUUGGCUACUCAUUUCAUUAAUCUAAUCAUUGAAUUUUUUUUUAAAUCAAUAACAUUUACUUACAUCAAAUUUAUUUAACAAAAUAUAAAUUUUUUAAAUUGUUAUAAAAAUUAAUAUAUGUACUUAAUAAGAACUUUAAAUUAAAAAUUAGAUUAAUAAAAUUUAAUACAUACAAAGAAUAAUUGAAGGGGUAACUUAACCAAAAGUUAAUUUUGAGUAACAUGAUCCAAGAGUUAGUUCGAAGAUAAAAUUGUUCAAUUAAAAAUUAUAUUAGUAUAAUUUAAAUCCUUUCACACAUAUGUAUAAAGUAGAGAAAUGAUAUUAAUACAUUUUUAAUCAGUACUAUUACUUAAAUUUUGUUAAAAUUCUAUUUUUUUUAUAAAUUUUAUCUUAUUUAUUAGUUUCUACCCAUAAUUUUAUAUUUUCUAAUAAAUUUUAACCAUCAUUAUUCGUUCUCUUAAUAUCAUGCUACGGGUGUCCAAAAAUGUAAAAGUUAUGAUAUACAAACACUUAUUUAUUUUAAACAUUUUCUAACCUUUCUCAUUUCUUUUCAUGAUUUUUUUUCUAUCAUAUCUAUAUUUUUUUUUCACUCUCUAGGUGUAUCAUAGUAUAAUGAGUGUCCAUAAAACAUUUUACAAAACCUAAUUAUAAUGGGGCUGCCAUUCAACGUGCAAAAGUAGUGAUUGAAAAAUCGGCGAUUCCAGUAAUGAACUUCCGGUGCUAUCGAGUCGUAGGUAGGUGCAUAACUUUUCUACGGAUCCACAAAUUGAUGGGAGUCCCCACAUCACCACACAAAUCAUCCAAAUCCUAUUUCAUCGAUUUUAUUCGCCAGCUAAAACUCAUUCAAUAACGUCCAUAGUUGCUUCAUUAAAUUAAUUAAAUAUUUGAGUUCAUUACUCCUCUCCCAAACCCGUUUAACAUUUUUUUGUUCUAAAACAAUUCACCCCACUUGGCUUUCCAAAACACUAUAUAAACCACCAUUCACUUCAAAUAACUCCCAUCCCUACAAACACUCUUCUCUUAAGCUCUAGUAGUUAAGAAACAUUAGUUGAAGAAAAUAAGAAACAUUAUACCUAGCUAUUAGAGUUUAAGAUGGCUUCAAAAACUUGUUCCUCCCUUGCCCUUUUCCUCACACUCAACCUCGUUUUCUUCUCACUUGUCUCUGCAUGCGGUUAUACACCAUGCCCUGGUCCAAACCCAAAGCCAAGGCCCAACCCCAACCCUAACCCUAACCCCAGCCCAAGUGGCUCGUGCCCCCGUGACGCACUCAAACUAGGUGUAUGUGCCAAUGUGCUAAACUUGGUGAACGCCACUUUGGGUCAACCACCAGUUACCCCUUGCUGCACCCUUCUCGAUGGUCUCGUUGACCUUGAAGCUGCAGUGUGCCUUUGCACUGCCCUCAAAGCAAACAUUUUGGGCAUCAACCUCAACCUUCCAAUCUCCCUUAGCUUGCUUCUCAAUGUUUGCUCAAGGAAAGCUCCACGUGAUUUCCAAUGUGCCUAAUCAUGGCCCAUGAGCAAGUUGCUACGUGCUUAUUCCUAGUUGUGGUUUUCCGUUGUUUUUUUUUUUUUUUGAAAUUCCAUUUAUCAUGGUGUGAUUCUUGUUCGUGCAUCAGUGCAUGGAUGGGUAAAUUCUCGUUAUAUUCUGCCGCUUUAUUGAUUGUUUUAUCAGGCAAAGUGUCACAUUAAAUAAAUUCCCAAUGCUUAAUUUCUUAUGUAAAGCAAAAGGAAUAAAAAAAUGAUAGUGUUAUUUAUAUGGCAGAUAAAUGGUUAAUGUUGCAAAUACAUUUUAAUAUUUAUUGAUGCCAUUUUGUUUUGUCUUUUCGGUGAAUGAGAGCAUCAGCUGAUCAGCAAAAUUACAUUGCUUUCUAACUUGUGUCCAAUGCGCAACUAGAGGAAAACUAAUUCAAGAAAAGAAUAAAAAUGAAAGUAAGCAUGCACAACACUGAGCCCGUGACGAUUGUACAAAGCACUCCACGUGCAUGCACUAUUAUUUCAUUUAAAAAAAAAGCUCAGAAUAAUUAGCUAUUUAAACCAAGAUACAUAUUAAAUUCUAUGGUACCACAGUAACACUUUUAGAGGUUUUGGAAAAUUUCAUAUUUGGACCAAUAGUUAUUAAGUUACUUAGUCAUCAAUUUACUAUAUGUGGUAAUGAAAUUGUUAUAUAUAUAUAUAUAUAUAUAUAUAUAUAUAUAUAUAUAUAUAUAUAUAUAAUUUAGUCCCUAAUUAAUUCAAAUAUUUUUUCUUUUAAAAUUAUUAUUUUUAAUUAUUUUAAUUAAAUAGAUAGAUCUGAUCAUUGACUCUGUAAAUCUUGAAGUUUUGGCAUUCAUGUGUCCUUCGACCUUAAAGAAGUGGAAAAAUAUCCAUGUUAAAUCUACUAUGGGGAAGGUUAAUUAAAAUUCAAUCCACAAUUGGUGACUCUAUCACUUACAAUGCUCUACCUUAUUCCAUGUUCCAAAAGAGCAUGUAAAAAAUCAUAUUUCCUCCAAUCUUAGUUAUAAGCAAAAAAGACAUUUUAUAUUUAUUAAAAAAAUUAACAAACUUUAUUAAAUUGUAUCAUUAAUUCCUAAUUAAAAAAUAAAUAUUUUUUCUAAACUAUUGGACUUUAUAUCAAAUAUAUAAAAAAAAUAAUCUUAUUAAAUGAAUAUAUUUUAGAGAGAAUCUUAUUAAAUAAGACAUAAAUAAUUCAAAUUUAAUAUUCUAAAUCCAAUGAAAUACUAAUUACUGUUCUUUACAAGCCUUCUGAAGUCCUUAGCUUGGUUCCUAAUCUAGAUCAGUCCCCCAGUUCAAGUGUAUGGAGAGGCCUAUGUCUUCCUCCUAACCCUCCUAUAUACUUUAGCCUUUAGAAGGGAUGUUCUGAUUAAUCGGGAUAUUCAUCGGUUGGUGUGAGUUGCGAUUGCAUCAAAAUCCCGUAGAUUGUGGGCUCUUACACAUCGAUGUAGGCCAAGUGUAGGUCUUUCUAUUGUGAGUGAUUUACCUCGGGACGAAUGAGGUGUGGCCCAAUGCGUAGUACUUCAAGCCACGAGUGGAGUAUAUAUGCACGAAGUGGCUUUGGUACACAACCCCUUAAGCCACAAGUGGAGUAUGCACAAAGUGGGUUUGUAGAGUUCGGGUUGACCGAGGUGUGGCACAAUACACAAUCCCUCAAGUCACAAGCUAGAGUGAAGUAUGCACUAAGUGAGUUUGCAGAGUACUAUCAAGAUUGAAAACUUGAAGGUACUUGAAACACACAUUGAAUUCUUAACAAAGUCAACGAUUAUAAAUCUUGCAAGAACACUCAUUGAAUUCUUUUGUAAAGAUAUAAAUGAAUGAAACACAAGUAAAAGUGUCAAAAAUAUCCCUGCUUAAUAUAAUAUAGAAACAAAAAAAAAAGACUAAUAAUACAUGAACCACGCCUAUUAUUACUACAAGAUUUUUUUUAAUGUUACACCCUAUAUUAACACCCAUCUUUUUCUCUAUCCCUCUCUUCUUCUCAUAUCAAAAUAUCUAUGAUACCUAUUAUCCCCCCCUCUCUUCUUCUCAUAUCAAAAUAUCUAUGAUACCUAUUUUACCAGAAAAAUACUUAUAUUUUUUUUAUAUUCAUGAAAUAAUCAAGNNNNNNNNNNNNNNNNNNNNNNNNNNNNNNNNNNNNNNNNNNNNNNNNNNNNNNNNNNNNNNNNNNNNNNNNNNNNNNNNNNNNNNNNNNNNNNNNNNNNAUAUAUAUAUAUAUAUAUAUAUAUAUAUAUAUAUAUAUAUAUAUAUAUAUAUAUAUAUAUAUAUAUAUAUAUAUAUAUAUAUAUAUAUAUAUAUAUAUAUAUAUAUAUAUAUAUAUAUAUAUAUAUAUAUAUAUAUAUAUAUAUAUUUACAUAAUACACGAACUACUUGCUAAUGAUUAUAUAGACUCCAAUCCCAAUCCCUCAGGUGGCUUCUGCCCUGGCGAUGCACUCAAACUAGGCAUAGGUGCCAAUGUGCUAAAUGGGCUGCUCAACGUGACUUUGUGUCAACCACCGGUUAUAUCUUCUUCUUCCCUCCUCAACGGUCUCAUUGACCUUGAGGCUGCACUGUCCUUAGAGCAAAUAUUUUGGGCAUCAACCUCAACCUUUCCAUCUCACGCAGCUCACUUCUCAAUGCUUGCUCAAGGCAAGUCCCAUGUGAUUUCCAUUGUGCCUAAUUACCCAACAUAUCAUAUAUAUCAUCGUACCUACUUUUGCUUUGUGUUUUCCAGUUGUGACUUUCCUUUCUUUUUUUUUUUUCAAAUUCCAUGUGUGGUUCUUGUACGUGCAUGGAGGGUUAGCUUCUCGUUAUUCCUUCCUUUCAGUGUUUUUGUAGUUAUCUGGUAAGAGUGACGCGAUAUAUAUUAUAUAUAGAAGCUCUCGAUGGUUGCUUGUGUAAAUCGCAAUGUACAAAAGUUGAUGAACUAGUCUGUUAUUUAUAAAAAGAAAACCAAACACAAGCGCUUGCAAAUGACCUCGUUAUUAAUGCUUCUAUUAUAUAUAUAUAUAUAUAAAGAGAUCAAAUAUCAAUAUAGUUUUGACCAACUAUUAUCUCAUUUAAUAACUUUCAAUUAAUUAAUAUUUUUGUUAAAACUCGUUAUUUGAUUAAAAAUUCAUUUCACAUGAAUUAAAUAUAUAAAAUUUUAUAUUAAUAUAAAAUUAUUUGUUAUCUUAUUAUUCAUAUAAACUAAAAUUGAUGUAAUAAAAAAAAUUAAAAUAUAUUAAAUUAUAAAUCAUUUGAUUAUUUUUUUAUUAUUGUUUAAUUUUAAUAAAAUUUAACACAUAUAAUAUAUAUUGAUAAUAUGUAAAUAUAAUUUAAUGAUCAAAUAAGUAAAAUUCACAAUUUUUUAUCAAAUUAUAGAAUAAUAAAAUAUUAAAUUAUAUUAAUAUAAUUUCAUCUAAUACAUAUUAAUUGUAUUUCAUGUGUAAAGAAUUUAGUAUUUUUUUAAUUGCAAUUAGUCUUGUAUAGUUUAAUGAUAUUUUUACCAGUGACUUGGUUUUCAUAUUGUUUUCCGUUAAGGCAUUAAUGGUCAUUUUCAUAAACAUUGGAUUUGGUAAAAGUCGAAAGGAUAAGACGAUUUUGCCAUAUGCUUAACUUGGCACUCUAUGGCUUGGCCUUUAUGGCUAAUAAGUAACACAUUUGUUUUUAAAAAUGUAUCAUUUGGCUUGAUCUCUUUGUUGGAUUUGAUUGAAUACUAAUCUUGGUCGUGGCAUAUAAGAAUAUGAUUUGUCCACCACUCGUAUAAUGACAUACAAACUAGCCUAGUUUUAAGCCACAACUUCUAACUUUGCAUCAUAUUCGGUUUCUAUGUAACCAAAUACACCAUAUGAUGCAAAGCCACAAAAUCUUCCAGCACUCUAUGCAUUUCUUUCCAUUUGCCAAUCCUAAAUUCGAUAUAAAAAAAUGUUGUAUUCCAUUAUUUGGUAGAACCGUAUUCACAUCUAACUACUGGUACCAAGUAGUCUCUUUUGAAAUGGGGAGAUUAUUAAAGUUAAACUCUUUUAGAAUGGAAAUAAAAGUCUAAUUAUGUUUAAAAAGUUUUAGAGUUUAAUAUUUUUUCAUAUAUAUUUUCUUAAUGAAAAUUAUUACACUGUUAAUUUGUUAUAAUUUUUAAAAUAAUUAUUACAUUAGAUAUAAUUUUUAAAAUAAUUAUUGUAAAUUAAAGCUAACAAUUUUACUGUACACAAAAAUUUAUAAUUGUGUGAUAAAACAAAUAUAAGUAUAUUUUUAAAGCAAAAUAUAAGUAUAUUCUAAUUAAAUACUAUUAACAUUUGCUAAGGCUAAUAAUUUGAAAACUUUGCAUAAUAUUUUGUUUUUGUUUUUGACAAUCGUGUAAUAUAAAAUUGGUUAAUGUGACUUCACGCCCCACCCCCAAAUUAUGAAGAUUUCACGAGCCAAAAACGCGUGGAAAACUUAGAUUUGAUUUUGAUAUUAAUUGGACAUCACAGAUUAAGUCAAUAAUUGCGGACUUGUUCACAAAGGAAUGUCUAAACGAAACUCUUUUUAAAAUGAAAAAAAACGUAGUACAACGUUCUUCAUUGGCUUAUGGGCCUUUGCUUGUUAGGCUUCUAGCUAUUAUAAGCUCCUAGUUGCAUGCUUCCUGUCGAAAAUUGAUCAUAUUUACAUAAUUGUUUUUUUUUUAACUUAAUACUUUCGUCGUGCAGUGACGACUGAUCCACGUAUCAACGAGAGGAUGCACUUCCAACCCUUCGCUUUUUUGGAAAACACACACACACAUAUAUUUUUUAAAAUAUGUAUAUUUUAUCUUCUUAAUUUUAUAUAUUUGAAUCAUCUAUCCUUAAUUUUAUUAGUAUUUUCAUAAAAUAUUUUAAACAUAAAUUUAAAUAAUAUAAGUACAUACACACUAAUUUACCCUUUGUUCCUUUUUCAAUCCUUAAAAUUUUAAGGCGCAAAUGAAUAAAACAACAAAAAGAUAAGAUAUGUAUUGAAAUUAUACAUAUGGUUCCACCUUAUUUCUGGUUACGGUACCCAGUUUAAUUACAUAAUAUAUUGCUUAUCAUGAAAGAAACGGGAAAAAGGAAACAACUAACAAAAACCAAAUUAUAUAUAUAUAUAUAUAUAUAUAUAUAUAUAUAUAUAUAUAUAUAUAUAUAUAUAUAUAUAUAUAUAUAUAUAUAUAUAUAUGAAAUAUAUAUAUAUAUACACAUAUAUGAAACCAUCAAAUCACAUAGAUUAUAGUUGAAAAUAUCAUUUUUAAUCAAUAGGAAAGGUAAAAGUCUCACUAUUUACGGGAAAUAAAAGAAUUAACUACGACGAAAUUGAUAUUUUUUUUCAAAUUACCUUUCUAAGCCUUUUCAAUCGGUAAAAUAUUUUCUUUAAUUUAUUACACGUAUUUUUUUUUUUACUUUGAGAAAAAAUAAUUUUUUUGGUUUUAUAUUAUUUUGAAAUACUUUUCAUUAAAUAAACAUAUAUAUAACCAAAAAAUAUUAAAAAAUAAUAACUAUUGAGGUAAAUUUAUUAUAAAUUUAACUAACCUAAAUAACUAAUAAUCAUUAUUCACUUCUUAUUUUUGAACAAAAUAUCUACUAUUUACUAUUUAUAGUUUAAUUAUAAGAAUAUAACUUAUAAACACUGUACCUUAAAGUAUUUUUUAUAUUAAUUUUUAAUCAAGGUUUUAUUUUGAUAACCAACUCCAACUUAAUUAAUUAUAACUUAUAUUACGUGGAUUAUGGAAAUAAAAUUUAACUAUUAAUCAUUGCCUUCAUUUUAAAAUAAGUGUCACAUUUAAUUAUUUAAUGUAACAUUAAUUGUUUUUUUUUAUUAUUUCUAAUAAAUAUCACUUUAAUUUUUUAGUCUAAUAUUAAUAUUAUUUUUUAUCUAUUUAAUAAUAUUAUACUCUAUUUUAUUUAUUAAUUAACUUUUUUAUAUGUAUAAAAUAUUAUACAACCACACUUAUUUUCGGACUAGGGAGUAAAAAAAACAUUUAAGAAACAAGAUAGUAAGUUUUCUUCAAAUUCAUAAUUAAUAGCUAUCAGCCAAUUAGCUAGUGGUAGUGUGAGGAUAAGAUUGAAAAUGUAAUAAUAGCUAUUAGCCUAUUAGCUAGCGGUAAUGUGGGGAUCUGAUAGGCUGUCGGGAUACACACUUUUUUUUUAGAAGUUAUUCAAAUUUAAAAGAAGAUAGUUUUUUUUUAAAGACGUAUACGAGAAUAAAUUCUAAUUUUUACUAAUAAUUAUAAUUUAUUAGUUAAAUUCAAUGUUUAUAUAUACAAUUUUAAAAUAAUUUUUUUACUAUUAACGAGCUAAAACUAUUUUUCAUAUGACUUUUAAAAUAGUUAUUACAACAAUUUUAUCACAAAUAACAUUAUACAUCAAUAACUAAUAAGUGGUAAUGUUACAAAUUCCUGAAUAAGAUGACCCGGCCGGCCCGGAAAAAAACAAAAUUAGUCGAGAUUUUUAACAAGAUAUUUUUAUCAUCGAAAGUUAUAUACUAUCUUUUAAAGAAGUAGAAUAUGAAUUAAAGAAAAGCUUUUUUUGACACAUGUAUUAUUCUAUUCGCAUAGCUAAGGAUUGAAACACUAAUAUAUGUUUAAAGAGCUCAAAUUAUUUGCUACUUGUGUAAUAUCUUGUAGGGGUUGGAAAUUUUUUUAUUUGAAUCAUAUGUAUAAAAAAGUGCAUUUCAAUUUGAUGUCAACCAACACGUACUUUGUUCGAAACAGGCUGCAGGAAGAAUAGUCAUCAUCCUCAAAUUUUAGCUAUUUUAUUUAUUAAAAGUUUAAAUACAACCAAAUUAAUCACAUCUCGGAAGGAACUGUAAGGGAGAGUGUGUACUGUGCAGUCAAUUUCCAACCACAAUAAGCAAUACUUAUAAUAGGACCCAGUGACCCAUUAUUUCACAUGCAGAACCUUAUGUACUCUCAGAUCCACCGAUUGAUGGCGGUUCCUGCAUGCAUCACAAGUCACAAGCAUAUAAUACCUAAUUUAAGGUUUUUCCCCGCCAGCUAAAAUUCUCAUGUUCACUCAUGGUCAUUUCAUUAACAUACUAUUUAUUUAUUUUUUUGUAAAAAAAUUCAAGUGUUGAAUAUUAAUUUUGAGGUACUGAAUAUAUAAGUUUUAAUUAAAAAAAAUUAUGUUUUGGUUUGGGUAAUUGGCUCGAUUCAGUUUCGGUUGAUCUAGCAUGAUAUUAUUCCAUUUGGAUAUCUCGGAUAGUAACCCAAAUUUUAUGUUUGGUGAGACUUAUAAGCUAUUGUCUUUUUUUUUUCUUCUCAAUUUUAUGCUUAUUUUUUAUUUAAAAUUUAGUUUUAUCUUUUUAUUCAAUUUAAAAACUUUCUUAUUUUCUUUAUUGUCCGGACAAAUUCUCGUAUUUAAUUUAAUGUUCUUACAUGCUUACAACAAACAUAAUAAUCAAUCCCUCAAUUGUCAUUGUUACAUCAUUCUUUAAUAUUAGAUUUUUUUAAAAUUAUUUCAAUUUUAUAAUUAUUUACUAUUUUUUUUAUUUUAUAAUUACCUAUUUUGAUCCUUUGCAUUAUUUUUUAUUUUAUUGAUUUAAUUUGUUAAGGCAAAAAUAUAUCCUACUUUUCAAGAUGAUUAAUUAUUAAAAAUAAAAUUCAAAUAUUAAAAAUAUUAAUAUAUUAUUUGAUAUUUAUUAGAUAAUUUUAUUAAAUACUUUCUUAAUUAGCUAGCUUAUAAACUUAUAACUUUAUAGCUUAUAAACUUCCAACCAAUUUAUAAGUCAAUUUUUACGAGACAUAGCUAAAUUGAUCCAAACUGAAAAAAAAAAAAAACACACUAGUUUGGGUUGCUAGUAAAAUAAAAUAAAAUAAGACAACUGAAGCUAUCUAACUCAGUACUUAAUAAUUGAAUUGUCGAUUAAUUUAAGUUUGUAUAUUUUACCUAUAUACGUACAUAAUACACCAACUACUUGCUAAUAUUUUAAUAGAGUCGUCAUCAUAUUCUCAUUGACACUUCCAAACACCAUGAGCACUAUAUAAACCCCCCAUCCACACCAAAUUACUCCCAUCUUCACUUACACUCUUCUUUUAAGCUCUAGCAGUUAACUAACAAUAUUAGCAUUUGCUAGUGAUUAGGAAUAUAAAGAUACGCCAACCACAAACAGUUUAAGAUGGCCUCCAAAACAUGUUCAUCCCUUGCUCUUUUCCUCACACUCAACCUCCUCUUCUUUUCACUUGUCUCUGCAUGCGGUAGUUAUUCAUGCCCUAGUCCAAAGCCAAAGCCAAAGCCCAAGCCAAAGCCCAACCCUAACCCUAGUCCUUCUGGUGCAUCGUGCCCCCGUGACGCACUCAAGCUAGGUGUAUGUGCCAACGUGCUAAAAGGGUUGUUGAACGUGACUUUGGGUCAACCACCAGUUACCCCUUGCUGCACCCUUCUCGAUGGGCUCGUUGACCUUGAGGCUGCAGUGUGCCUUUGCACUGCCCUCAAAGCAAAUGUUUUGGGCAUCAACCUCAACCUUCCUAUCUCACUCAGCUUGCUUCUCAAUGUUUGCUCAAGGCAAGUCCCACGCGAUUUUCAAUGUGCCUAAUCAUGGCCUAUACACAACAUAUCAUAUAUAUCUAACGUGUUUGGAAACUCGUUGAGGAUGGAGAAAUCACGUCUGAGAUAUGAAAAGCUAUAACUAUUUGCUUUUCCACAUCUAAAAUGUGAAAAAUUACGUCUGAAACGUGAAAUCAAACACGUUAAUUAAUCAUCCUAUCUACGUACUUUUGCUUCGUGUUUGGUAUAGUUGUGACUUUCCUUUAUAUUGAUCAGUGUGUGAAUCUUGUACGUGCAUGGAGGGUUAACUUCUCCUUAUUCCUUCCUUUUAGUGUUUUCUAAAUAUUGUAUGGUUAGAGUGUUGCAAUAAAUUAAUAAAUAAGUUCCUGAUGCAUGCUUAUGUAAAUCGCAAGGGAACCAAAGAUAAUGAACUGGUGUGUUAUUUAUAUUUGAUUGAGAAAUGGUCAUUAUAUCACAAAUAAUCGUUUGGAAAAAUAAAUAUGUUGGGUACGUUUAUGAGUGGGGGGUCACUGAUGUAAUAGGAGCAGAUUAUGUAUGCAGGGACUGAACAAAUUAUCUUGCUUGAUAUAUGCUGUGGGGUUUUAUGUGCUGCGUCAAUAGUUUAGGAGCAGGAGCAGAUUAUGAUUGCUGCAUACAUAAUAUGCAGGAGCAGAUUAUAUGUAUGUUGUGGGAUUUUGCAGUGUAGUGGUUUAUAUAUGAUGUAAAAGGGUUUGGUUCCCUUAUAUUAUACCCUCUAUUAUAUAAAUCUUAUUUGGCUUAUAUAAAAAGAAUAAUCCUUCUUAAUUUAUUUCGUUCUGCCUUUUCCUUUUGUCUUUUUUGGUGAACGAAAUCACCAACUAAUCAAUUAAGUAAAUUAUUCGGCAUACUACUAAUUAAAGUGUAUCAAUUGAACUUUCAUAUCUUGCUCGGUAACAAACAAAAUUGGGAAGUUAUGAGUUGGUUUUUCAGGGCUAUUGCUUAAUAAUAUCUCUGCUAAUUAUAUCCAAUUUAGUUCUUUACUAAGGAGGAAAUAGCUGCAUACGAUUCGCUACCUUUUUUUACCAUGCAGGGUAUGAUCUAUUUAAAUCAUGCAUAAUGAAAUUGUAUUUCAAGGUGUAUCUUUCGACUUAUCUAGUAGUGUUUUAGAUUUUUAUAAAGAUUAGAUCGAGGACAUUCAGCAAUAAAUUAAGUAUAAUAUUCUUUUAUCUAAUUUGUUUACAUCUUGUAGCCUGUUAGAGCACUCUGUCUCUUAAUAAAUUGUUUUUCCUGUAAAAGAAUAAAGUAUUUAAUUGUUGAAAAUGUAUAUUACGGGAAGACAUAUUACUAAUCAAGUAUUUGUUGAAAAAGUUGGGAACACAAGAGUCCAUCAUAUUAUUAUUAAAUUGUUGAACCAUUUCCCCUAAAUCUAAGAGAUCAAUAUUGGAAGAAAAAAUCAUAGACAUUCAAAUUACUUUUCCUGGAUAUAGUGACAAUAUAAUAAAUUAUACAAACAAAUGAUAUACUUUUGAAUCACCAUAAUGUUCGUGCAAAUUAUUCAUUUAUUUUAUUAAUUACACAUAAUAAUCUUUAUUUUCAAUUACAAAAUUUCAACUUAAAACUUUAAGAAAUUUAAAUCCAAUUUCACUCAAACCAAAAUCACAUAUGUUAGCCAAACAUAUGAUUAGUUAUUGUAUACUUUAUUUUAUAUAUUAAAAAAAUCCAUGUACAUUUAUAAUAUUUAUAUGGCUAAAAUAUUGUUCUAAUCGCUUAUUUAUUUAUUUAUUUAAUUGGUGUAAUUUGAUUUCUUUAUUGAUAAAGACUUCAAUUUAGUUAAUUUUCAAAAUCAUGUCUAUGUUGUAAUUUUCAUCUAGUUGAUAAAAAUGUAGAACCAACAAAAUGGGUAAGAACUCACUAGUUUGAGCCGGGUUGGGUUGAUUUUUUAUGCCCAUUUCAAUUAUUAUGCAUAAAUAUGGCCCACCCAACCCGUAUUCAGGUUGACUAAUAAAAAAAACAUGUAUGUUGAUGCUAUUAAAAAAAUAACCCACUCCUUACUUGUCACGCAAAUGAAAUAGCACAACAAUUAUAAUUAGGUUUGUCCUUUUUUUUUCUCACUCUUUUUUCUUGAUUUAGUUAUUCUUCUUGCUUUCCUUUUUACAACAAUCAACAUAGAAUAAAAAUUAUAGGAAGUUUUUUUUAAAAAAAAUCAUUUCGUCCUUUUAAUUUUAGGUGGAUCAAACUAUUUAAUCUAUCAACUGGUGGUUACCUAAACUAAUUUAACUAACUUUUUAAAGACUCAGCAAAAAGUGAGUCAAGAUAGGCUAGUCCACUUUUUGAGCAACACGAGAUGAACUGACUUUGUCCACUUUGACAAUUGUAUUGGUGUUAACAAAAACAGACAUGUGCCACUUUCACAGGUUCAAGCCACUGACGUUAUUAUAGUCAUAUAUGCAAUUUUGAAAACUAAGGGUAAUUAUUUUUUUUAUAAUAAAAUGGCCAAAUUGGAUAAAUAAAAUAAAAAUAGAGACAAAAGAGUAUUUCAGUCUAUUUAUAUUAAAUAGUUAAUUUUCGUAAGAAAAAAAAUACAUACAGAGAGUAACAGACUAAUUCAAAACUUAUUUAUUAGAGUUUUAUUUUUGUUUAAUGAAGUGAUUUAAUAAUCAUUAUUUGAUUCUGAUUUUUUAAUAAAAUAUAUUAAUUAUUUAUUUAUUUAUACCUUAUGUUAAAAAAAUUAAGUAUUUAUACUUUAAUUCAAAGAAUAAAACUUAUAAUACAUCAUCUAUUUUUUUGGUAUUGUUUUUUAUAUAAGGUUAUAUUUUAAUGACCAACUCCUUGUUUUUAUUUUAACUUAUAAAGUAUUACUAGAUUAUCAAAAUAAUUUUCUAAUUUUAAUUUUAAAAACGUUUAAGAAGCAAAUUAGUUUUCUUCAAAUUAAUAAAUUAAUCGUUGCUAUCAGCCAAAUAGCUAGUGGUAACGUAAGGAUCUGAUUAAAAAUCUAAUAAACUUAUAAUAGCUGUUAGCCUAUUAGCCAAAUAGCUAGUGGUAAUGUAAGGAUUGGGUAAGCUGUCGGGAUAUACAUCAUCAUCUCUGUUUUGUUUUGUUUUUUUUUUUUUUUUUUUUUCCAAAAUUAUAUUUUAAUCUCCUUAGUUGUCUCUAAUUUUGAUUUUAGUAUCUUUUAAAAUUAUUGAUGCAUAUAGUAAUGCAUUUAGUCCUUCAAGUUCAACCCCGUAAACAUGAUCCUAAUUUAGACGUUGACUGUUAUAAAAAAAUGUUGACAGUCACGUGUUACAUUCUGAUUGGACGAUAAUUGACACGUGUCACAUUUUGAUUGAAUAUUGACAACAACAAUACAUUUUUCAUCAUUCAUAAAGUCAACAUUUAAUUAGAACGUGACACAUGAUAAUUUACGGGAUUGAAUAUAAUUAAAGGACUAAAUGCAUCAAUAAUUUUAGGAUCGGAGGAUAGAAGUUCCAAAUUUAAACCAAAAUGGAUUUUCAAUCAUGUAGAGGUAUACGAGAAUAAAUGAUAGUAAAGGUAUAUAAAUUGAAAAUUAAUAAUUAAUUAUACUGAUUAUAUAUACAUAUAUAAUAAAUCAUAAAAUUUAUCAAUUUAAUUAAUUUUUAUCAAUAAUUAUACUUUUAUUUAAAUUUAUUUUUUUAUAUAAUGUCAAUGCAAUUUAUUUACUAUUAACUAUUUAAAAAAUAUUCUACAUAAUUAUUAUAAAAAUUAACGACCUCAUCAUUCAAAACUUAAUGCAUUACAAUUAAAUUCUUCCUACUUUGUUGUUUAAAAUUUUAAAUCCAACAUAAUUACUUUUUUUCCUGAUAAUCCAACCAAAUUACUAUUCACUCCAAUCUUAAAUAUAAAUAAAAAUACCUCAUAUAAUUAUUUCAAAUAUAAAUAAAUUUUAACUAAUUUUAAAAAAACAUUCUCCAAAACAUUUUUAUUUUAUUUCAAUAACCUCUUUAAUUCUCGUUAUAUCAAUUGCAUGACUUUUAAAAAUAAAAAAUAUUUUCAAUUAAAAAAAAUUCUAUUAAAAUAAUGUUUUUUAACAAUUAGCGUGAAGAGUAGUUUGAAUAAUGAUUUUUUUUAACAAGAUACAGAAAAUUAAAUUAAAUUUACUAAAUUAUUAUAAAACAAUCACCGUGGUAUUCAUGCAAGUGAAACUUAUCUCAAAUUUCUUUAGUAAAAUUUGAAAUUUAAAUUAAACUUUGUAGAUGAAAGAAAAAAAAAUAAGAUGAGAGAUUCUAUAUAGGAAAAGUGAGUCACUCAUAUUUCUUAACAAAAGAUUAAUAAUUAUUAGCAAAAUAAAUAUAUAUUUCUCACUAAAAUUAUCUUGUAGUAAAAAUUACCAUGAAUUUUUUUAACACAAAAUUUAAAAAAAUAUCUAAAAAAGAUUUAUACGUUUGUAUAAGUGACUUAUCUCUUUUAAUUAUAAGUGAUAUAGAAUUUAAACUAUGAUUGUUAAUUUAAUAUAAAAUAAAUCAUAUUAAAACAGAAGUAUUAAUCUCAAACAGCUUUCAAUAGAAAUUAUUUACUACUCACACUAUAAUAAAAAAAUAAAAAAAUCUGGCAAGGGUUUGUACUUUGUAGAGAAGUUGUGGUGAAUUUACAGCCACAAUUAGUGAUACUUAUAUGGGACCCGCUAUUCCACAUGCAAAAGUUAGUAAUUGCAUAAUUCUGGGGACUCCAAGGAUCUUAGAUCUUACGGUCAUGGAAUCAAGUUGCCCAACGGGUGCAUAACUUUGCUCCCCAGAUCCACCGAUUGAUGCCAGUCCCUACAUCAACAAGUCACGAGCAUUAAAAACCUAAUUUAAGGACUUAAUUUUCCUGCCAGCUACAAAUUCUCAGGUUCACGUUCCAUUAAUUUAAUAUUUUUUUAUUUAUUAUGAAAUAUAUUCAAGUGUUUAAUUUUUUAUUGUCAAAAAUCAAAUACUGUAUUUUAAGUUGUUACGGAGUUAUUCUUAAUCAAAAUUAGCAUUUAUCUAUAUAAUUAUUCUUAAUUUUAGUUAUAAAAAAUACUGAUUAUUAAAAUAAAAUUUUCAUUUUGAUUGAAAAAUUACUCCAACCAUUUUUAUAAUAUAUACAAUAUCUAGGUUUAAUUUAUUUUUAAGAGAAAAAUACUCUCAUACAUAUAUACAUUCAUAUGUUCCUUUUAUAGGCAAUAAUAAUAGUACUUAUUUAUAUUUUUCAUUAUUAAUAAAACUAAUCUAUCAUUGAUUAAAUCAAUUUUUUAAAUGUCUUUUAAUUUAAGUUUUACAUUUUACCUAUAUCGUACAUAUAUAAUACACAAACUACUUGCUAAUUUUUUAAUUGACUCCUCAUCAUAACCCCCUUCCACCUUCAAAACAUCAUGAGCACUAUAUAAACCACAAUCCACAUCCUCACAAACACUCUUCUCAUAAGCUCUAGCACUUAACUAGUAAUAUUUAUUAGAAUUUGCUAGAGAAUUAGAAGAAUAAACAUAAUACCCCAGAUGGCUUCAAAAACUUGUUCCUCCCUUGCCCUUUUCCUCACACUCAACCUCGUUUUCUUCUCACUUGUCUCUGCAUGCGGUUAUACACCAUGCCCUGGUCCAAACCCAAAGCCAAGGCCCAACCCCAACCCUAACCCUAACCCCAGCCCAAGUGGCUCGUGCCCCCGUGACGCACUCAAACUAGGUGUAUGCGCCAAUGUGCUAAACUUGGUGAACGCCACUUUGGGUCAACCACCAGUUACCCCUUGUUGCUCCCUUCUCGAUGGUCUCGUUGACCUUGAGGCUGCAGUGUGCCUUUGCACUGCUCUCAAAGCAAACAUUUUGGGCAUCAACCUCAACCUUCCGAUCUCACUCAGCUUGCUUCUCAAUGUUUGCUCAAGGAAAGCCCCACGUGAUUUCCAAUGUGCCUACUAAGCUUAUACUAUAAGUAUAACAUAUCAUCUUAAAUCUUCUUUUGCUUCGGGUUUGCUCUAGUUGUGGCUUUCCAUU